UGAGUACGAGAUGCUACGGCAUCGAAGCAGUCUAUGUCAUACUUCCAAGAAAAGCUUGCAAUGUCAUAAACAAAUAAUGCCUGUACCAUAACCGACACAGGUGGGUAGGUAGAGUAUACUAAGGGGCGCGAGAUAACUCUCUCUAAGGAACUCGGCAAAAUGACUCCGUAACUUCGGGAGAAGGAGUGCCUUAUUUUUAUAAGGUUGCAAUAACAAGAUCCAAGCAACUGUUUACCAAAAACACAGGUCUCCGCUAAGUCGUAAGACGAUGUAUGGGGGCUGACGCCUGCCCAGUGCCAGAAGGUUAAAGAAGUUGGUUAGCAUUAGCGAAGCUGAUAACUGAAGCCCUGGUGAACGGCGGCCGUAACUAUAACGGUCCUAAGGUAGCGAAAUUCCUUGUCGGGUAAAUUCCGACCCGCACGAAAGGCGUAAUGAUUUGGAUACUGUCUCGGAGAGGGGCUCGGUGAAAUAGACUUGUCUGUGAAGAUGCGGACUACCUGCACCUGGACAGAAAGACCCUAUGAAGCUUUACUGUAACUUGAGAUUGAAAUUGGACUUUAUCUGCGCAGUAUAGGUGGGAGACGUUGAAAAUAUUCUUGCGGGAAUAUUGGAGUCAUCAGUGAGAUACCACUCUUAUAAUGUUAGAUUUCUAACUUUGUAUCAUUAUCUGGUCAAAGAACAGUUUCAGGCGGGCAGUUUGACUGGGGCGGUCGCCUCCCAAACGGUAACGGAGGCGCACAAAGGUUUCCUCUGAACGUGUAGAAAUCGUAUCUAGAGUGUAAAGGCAUAAGGAAGCUUGACUGUGAGACCUACAAGUCGAGCAGGGACGAAAGUCGGUCUUAGUGAUCUGACGGUGCUGAGUGGAAAGGCCGUCACUCAACGGAUAAAAGUUACUCUAAGGAUAACAGGCUGAUCUCCCCCAAGAGUUCACAUCGACGGGGAGGUUUGGCACCUCGAUGUCGGCUCAUCGCAUCCUGGGGCGGUAGUACGUCCCAAGGGUUGGGCUGUUCGCCCAUGAAAGCGGUACGCGAGCUGGGUUCAGAACGUCGUGAGACAGUUCGGUCCAUAUCCGGUGUAGGCGUUAGAAUAUUGAGAGGAGCCUUCUUUAGUACGAGAGGACCGAGAAGGACAUACCUCUGGUGUACCAGUUAUCGUGCCAACGGUAAACGCUGGGUAGCCAUGUAUGGAGAGGAUAACCGCUGAAAGCAUCUAAGUGGGAAGCCCACCUCAAGAUAAG
rnacentral:rRNA from 1 species